ACACUUCAUUUUCUUCUUUGACUUUCUCAAAGAAAUAAGACUCAAGAAACUCUUUUGCUCCCAUUUCCCACGGAUCCAUGCAAAUCAGAAAUUUGCACCUCACUUUACACUCUUUUCUCUUAAGGAAAGUGCUAGGAAGCUCCCCAAAAGUCUUCCCCUUAUCUCAUUUUCUUGGCUGCACCAGACAGAAAGUCCAGCAGCAAGAAGGAAGCUUCUUUCAACUCUCUCAAGCUCUCUACCUCUCAUACCUUCUGGUCUAGCACUAGGAAAGGAAAAUCCUUUCAUGUGUUACCAAUAUCCAAGUCUAAGCUCCUUCGACUUUAGGCUCUCGAUUCCUCUGCUUUCAAGUAAGGGAUAAGUUAUAUGGAUAUUUGGUAAGUCAUGAGAUUAUUUUAAAGUAUAUUAUGCAUUAAAAUGUUUUGAUUAGAGAUAUGGCAUAUAAUCAUUAUUCUGACAAGAUAUGUUCGUGAGUUCUCGAAACCCUAUGUAUAUGAUUUAAGUAUAUUGAUGCCAUUACUAAUUUCCACGAACAUGAUGUUUAAUGAAAAGAAUGGAAAUGCUAUUAUUAUGAGAUGUUAUGCAAAAUAAGAAAUUUCAGUAAAAUGUAAAGUAUGAAAUGUUUUCGGGUUAUGUCCUUUGGUGAUCUGAACUCUGCCAGUAGGGGUUAAUUACUGGUUUUCCAUGGAAAAUGUUAUAUGAUUGGCUAUUAAGUGGGACUGGCUCUGCUGUACCCGCCCCUUGUUGGUUACGACCAACUUGUGGGGGAAGCCAACCUACCCCCAUGAUUGAAAGAUAUGUAUUAUGCUGUAAUCCCGGGAAUACCUGGCAUUGUGGGGAAUGCUGGAUGCCUAACACCGUGGUGCUAGAAGCCUCCCAAAUAAGUACAGACUUAUCAGAUAUGGACUAACCAAUAAGUUAUUUAUGAACAGCUAUGUUAUGUUAUUAAUCAUGAGAGAAUUAUUUUGUUAAAAUGCAUUAUGAAAAGCAAAAGCUCUCAUGGCAAGAAGAAGUUUCUGAUGAAAAGAAAAGCUGUUCAUCAAAGAUAAAAGUUUCUAAAGUUCUGUUGUGCUAUAAAGAUAAAGCUUCUGAAGAAAGUACAAGUUAUGUUUAAAAGUUAUCAGAUACCUGUUCUGUAUGAAAUGUUAAGUUUUAUGACUAUAAGAGUUAUAAUAUUUUUCGGGAAAAUGUUUAUAAAGAAAUAUUUUCUUAUUGGGUCAAGAUGUUUCUAUUUUAAUACAAAGUUGUCAAUUAUUUGAUUUAAGUUAAAAUAAUUAUUUUGUAAUGAGAAUAUAUAUGUGGCGACUUUGUAGGAAAUGAAAGAAGUUUAAUCCGAAAGGUUUUGGUAAUAUUAAACCGAUGAGAAAAAGGAGAACAAUUAUUUUCUAUGAAAAGCGUAUAAGCUAUUAUUAUGAAUAGUAUAAAAUACUAUGCAUGAAAAGAUGUUCUCCUAUUUGAAUAUUCAUAGAAUGAAAUGAUCUGAUUUGCAUGCAUCCUUAUUGAAUUCUUAUAUAUCUUACCUUUACUGAGCUGUGUAGCUCACCCCUUCCACUCUUUCAGUUAGCAGGUUUUAUUUUGGAGCAGAGAAAGCCUUAGUCAAGUUUUGGAAGGAGCUGGUUUUAGUUUUAUAUGUAUAGAUCCUAAAUUAGCAAUUUGAUGUUUAGCUUUAUAGUACUGUGUAUUUUAGGAUCUAAUGAAAGUGUGUACCUUAAAGUAUUAAGAGAUGUAUUAUGUGAAAUUCAGAAUUUGAGUAACUGGUGAAUUAUGUUAUCCUUUGGAGUACAAUGUAGAUGCUCUGAAUGUUAAGUGAAAGGUCAUAUAAUUUAAGUAAAGAAACAA